AGGGGGACAAAGAGUUAGAGAAGCAGAGAAUCUUCUUGGAGAACCUCAAGAAAGUACGAUACAACACUGCACAACUGUCAACAACCCCUCCAUCCUCCUCCCGUUCUGUGGACGAUACCAUUGAGUAUACACAUGCAUUAAUAGGGGCCCUGAGGAAAGCAUCUCCACCUGUGCAAGUCGUCGACCUGUCCUCCAUUCUCCGGCCUCCCAUUACUUUCAGGACCCUUUAAUCAGGCUCUGCCCCAGUGUCCAUUCUGACAGCUCUGCUUCUGCCGUGACUUGUAAUAACAUCGGAUGUGAGACUGUGGGUACGCGUUAGAGGCCUCAAGGAUUUCAGGAGUUCGCUUGGACACGUUAGCGAGGAUGCUUAAUAAAAAGAAAGGGAGGACUGUUACAGAAUAAAUGUACUCACUUAAAUUCCUUUAGUUGUAUUCUCUGCUUCGACAUAUCGAGAUAAGGACAGAGAAAAAACUGCCUGGAAGACAGAGGAAGAGAAUCCAAGAAGAGACAACGAAGGCCCCAGACCCAAAAUUACCACUGGACCAACAGGCUCGUGAAAGAUGCGUGAAGAGCGGGUGCACAGACUGGGGGGGUUUACAAGCCCAAGUCUCUUUCGUCUCACGCUCCUCCUGCUGAGAGGCCCCACGUCCAGACUGUUUCUUUGCUGUUAUGUGGUUAUUUAUGGAGAUCCCGAGGAAAGCGCCCUGCAACACUUCACCUCUGCCCGCGUCCCGACCGUCCUCCCUUCUCUGGAUGAAGAGAAGCCGCUACAUUAAUGUGGACUCUGGUAAAGUUACAAAGACGUACCCAUCAUUAACCCAUGACGUGCUAAAUGCUUUCUAACCAGCUGCAAAACGAGGGGAUAUUUUUCAAGUUUUAAAUCCUUCUGCCUGACAAAGAGAUCAGAAGAUGAAGGAACACGUUGUUUAGAAGCAGAGCUUAGCUUAUAUUUGACUAGUAAUUAAUAGUAAGAAACUCAUCCGUUACAACUAACUUCAUACUAACCUUAUGUUAGCUCACAGGAAAGAGAUUGGGGAACCACCUGGUGAUAAUGUCAAUAGAGAAACCUUGCUGACAUAAUCAGUCACCAUUGUAUAAAUUAAAUGAUGAGGAAAAGUGGCCUCUGAAUGAAACUCUGAAUGAUGCCUCGUUAACAUUCUUCUUGAAGAGAGAAGGCAAGUGCAGUCAAGUGAUGGAAGCUGAUAUGUUUUCCACUUUGCAAAAACAGAGUGGCAGGCAGAAUGUGGUAUUAACUUGCCACCCCAGGAUCCAGCUGUGUUCACAUUAAAAAGGGAGCAGAAUAAAGCUCAGGAGAAGUUGAAACCAUGUUGUUCAGCAUGUAGAAUAAGACAGAAAACUCCCCUGAUGAGAGGGGAGGGUGAGAAAGAAGACUGCGUGUCCCCACAGGGCGUGGAAUUGAAGAUGAUGUGCCUUCAGCUUCCGAGCUGGUGAAACUGUGCAGAAAGAAGAGAAAAACAUGGAAAAGAAACUGAGAUUUUAGUUGAGACUGGAACUCUUGAUUCAGUUUUGAAUCAGGAAUUGAUACCAUUAGAUGAAGAUUUUGUACCUGUUAUGGGAGCUACUGGCCAAGGAGACAAAGCUUUCUUCAUCAGCCAAUCCAACAGAAACUGGAAAACAAAAUGCAAUUCCUAAGUUCUUAUCUAUGUCCAGAUCUCCAAAACCGUUACGGAGACGAGACUUAGGAAAACAAUUGCAAGCAAUAAUAACAUUCAAACAAGGUGAAGUGACAAAAUGGAAUUCCUAAGUUCUUAUCUACGUUUGGGUCUCCAAAACCGUUACGGAGACGAGACUUAGGAAAACAAUUGCAAGCAAUAAUAACAUUCAAACAAGGUGAAGUGACAAAAUGGAAUUCCUAAGUUCUUACCUAUGCCUGAGUCUCCAAAACCGUUACGGAGACAAGACUUAGGAAAACAAUUGCAAGCUAUAAUAGCAUUCAAACAAGGUGAAGUGACAUUCAAGAUAAAAGAACAGCCACAGAAACCAAAGAAGGCCGUAUGCAAUGCACUGCAAGUUUGCUAAAUUGGGUGAGAUGCAGUGGGUAUCGAGCUUCCCAACAGAAAGCCCAGCUGAUCCAGUGCCAAGUGACUUAUCUGGGAUUCGAGAUCUCCGGAGAGCACCAGAGCUGGGGAUGGAGCGACAAGAAGCUGUUUGACGGACACCAGAACCUGCAGCGGUAAAAGAGCUCCGGGCGUUUCUUAGAAUGACACCUUGGUGCAGACUUUGAGUUUAUAAUGAUGGACUUUGAGUAAAGCCUUUCUAUGAACCGUGAAACAAAAGGACUUCCAAGUUGAAUUGGACAAGAGAAGCAUCUGAGGGCAUUUGCACAACUCAACAAAGAGCCUGGGUCUCCCAGAUAUCACCAAGCCAUUGGAGUUAUGCUCACACGAAAGGCAAAGCAUUGCUCUGCGUGUUCUGGCACAGCAACUAAGAGCUCAGAACCGAGCGGCUGCUGCUUCCCUAAGCAAUCAGAUGAAGUGAGCCAAGGCUGGCCUGGAUGUCGUGGAGCUGUGGCAGCUCUUGGACUCGCUGUACAGGAAGCUCCUGAGUUCACCAUGGGACAGAAAGUGUCCCAUACAGUCCCAACCGUACUGGAACAAAAAGGUACCCAUGGGUUAUCUGCCUCAAGAUUCCUGAAUACCGGGCAGUACUGGUGGACCUAGACGAUGUGAAUAUUGUCGCUACCAACAUUGUCACUGCAGCCCCUUUCCUCAGUGGGUCUGUUUCAGAGCCUGUGGUCCAGGAUUCCUUGGAAACAGUGGGAGCUGUUUCCUCCAGCAGACGGGAGUUAAAGGAACAGCCGCUGGAAGACGCUGAAGACUCCUGGUUCUCCGCUGGAAGCAGCUUUGUAAAGCAAGGAGUACAUAGAGCUGGGGAUGCCCUAACAACUACCCACGAGGUAAUCGAAGCCAAACCUUUGCCUCCUGGGACUUCUGCCCGGACAGCUGCGCACACACGAGCUUUAGAAUUAUCCAAAGAGAAGAAGAUUAAUAUUUGGACAGAUUCCAAGUGUGCUUUGGGAGUGGUGCGUGCCCAUGGAGCAUUUGAAAAGGACCAAGUUUAUUAACAGCACAAGAACAGAUUAAAUGAGAUACUCCAGUUGGCGGAAGCUGUGCUGUUACUAGAAAAGUUGCCAUCAUGCAUUUCAAGGAGCAUCAAGAAGGAGACACUGAUCAGGAAACUGGAAAUAAACUGGCAGCUGAUACUGCGAGACGAGCUGCUGGAAAGACAGAGAGAGCAAUGAGAGUGAUGUCUCUGAGCCCGGAUGGCUGCCUCCUCGAACCAGUAUCAGUAAACCCUACCUUGCAGUGCAUUAACAGAGACCUUCUCAGGUUGGCCAGAAGCAUUCCCCUGCCCAACUAGUAACGCCAGAACAGUAACUAAAGCUUUGUUAAAUGAGACCGUACCCCGACUUGGGGUACCCGCUGUGAUGUCCUCUGCUAGGGGGCCCCGUUUUGUUGCACAGGUAGUGCCGCAAGUCAGUAAAGCAUUAGAGAUCGAUUCGCAGUUGCAGACUCCCUACAAGCCUUAAGCAAGUGGGCAGGUAGAAAAGAAAAUGAGUCACUUAAUGGAACAGCAGGUAAACAGAAUUUGCCAGGAAGCUAACUGGAAGUAGAAUCCAGCACUACCUUUAGCGCUGCUCAGAAUGAGAUGGAAGCCUCGAGCCAAGGAAAACUGAAGUCUUUUCUUUCAAGCCAAUAGAUGAAGUUUCUGUGAAAGCUUUUCCAUGUCAGCCUUGAGAAGAGAAGUGGAAUGGACUGCUCCAGCUGUUGCUGACGGCCUUUACCGCCAUCAAGAUUAAAGAACAACCCGCCUGGAUUCACUGUUCAAGAGUGAAGAAAGCAGCAGAUAAGAAACAGACGUUGGAACCAGUAGGACCUACCGCUUUCCAGUUCUCUCAGCGUUGAUCUCAGUGACUCUGAAAGAUUAUGCUCUUUAAUGCCUAAAGAUCCAGUAGAAGCUGCUGUGGCUUGAACUUACCUGUCCUCUGUCAGAGGACAGCAGAGCGGGGACCCCAAAUCGGGGCGGUGGUGGCAGAAACUGGAAAUUUGACCUGGAAUGAUGGAGUCAGUAUUUGAGGGCAGAAAUCAGUUGACCAAGGUCGUUGGGUCUUCAUCGAGAACAUGGAGAACUUGUGCAGCGACCUGCAGAACUGGGGGCUGUUGCUCUGCACACAUCAGGGAAGUGUCUCCUCACCCUCCCCACUGGGCCUGGGGCCACGGUGCCCAAGGCCUGAAGCUUUUCUGACAGCUUCUCUCCCUGCCUUUCUCCCAGAGACCGCGCAGCAGCGGCUGAGCACGGCUCACCAGAGGAGAUGGAGCGAACAGCCCCGCGAGGAGCUGCCCGACCGCCCUGUGACACCGCUGACCGCAGCCCAGGACCUCGGCGCCCCGACUGAGGGUCUCUCCAGCACCCUGGGGGGAUGAUUACUGAGAAAAGGAGAAGAUCCUCUUGGAGCCCCUGAAGAAAGCGCCGUACAACACUUCACGUCUGUCAGCAUCCCGUCCGUCCUUCUGCCCUUCUCCGGACCACAAUUUCUUUGAGGUUACGCAGUUAUUUCUGGAGAUCCCGAGGAAAGUGCCCUGUGCACUUCACCUCUACCAGCGUCCCGGCCGUCCUCCCUGCUCCUGGCCACCAUUCUUAGAGGGUUUCUUAGAGAAAUGGGUUUAAAAGCCCAAGUCUCUUUUGCCUUGUGUUCCCUCCCCCUGAGAGGCCCCCAGCCUGGACUGUUUCUCUGCUGUACCUUUUAAGUUGUUUUUAAUCUCAUAAUUAAAGUAUCUUUCUAAAGCGCAAA